CAGUCGCCGCGGUAAUACGUAGGUGGCAAGCGUUAUCCGGAAUUAUUGGGCGUAAAGCGCGCGUAGGCGGUUUUUUAAGUCUGAUGUGAAAGCCCACGGCUCAACCGUGGAGGGUCAUUGGAAACUGGAAAACUUGAGUGCAGAAGAGGAAAGUGGAAUUCCAUGUGUAGCGGUGAAAUGCGCAGAGAUAUGGAGGAACACCAGUGGCGAAAGCGACUUUCUGGUCUGUAACUGACGCUGAUGUGCGAAAGCGUGGGGAGCGAACAGGAUUAGAGACCCCGGUAGUCCCUGUCUCUUAUAC
rnacentral:rRNA from 1 species